UAGGGAAGUCUUCGGCAAUGGGGGCGAACCCUGACCGAGCAACGCCGCGUGAGUGAAGAAGGUUUUCGGAUCGUAAAGCUCUGUUGUAAGAGAAGAACGUGUGUGAGAGUGGAAAGUUCACACAGUGACGGUAACUUACCAGAAAGGGACGGCUAACUACGUGCCAC
rnacentral:rRNA from 1 species